UAUUGGGUUUAAAGGGUGCGUAGGCGGAAUAGUAAGUCAGUGGUGAAAUCCUGCGGCUCAACCGUAGAACUGCCAUUGAUACUGUUAUUCUUGAAUGUAGUUGAGGUAGGCGGAAUGUGUAAUGUAGCGGUGAAAUGCUUAGAUAUUACACAGAACACCGAUUGCGAAGGCAGCUUGCUAAGCUACGAUUGACGCUGAUGCACGAAAGCGUGGGGAGCGAACAGGAUUAGAUACCCUGGUAGUCCACGCUGUAAACUAUGAUCACUCGUUGUUUGCGAUAUACAGUAAGCGACUGAGCGAAAGCAUUAAGUGAUCCACCUGGGGAGUACGUUGGCAACAAUGAAACUCAAAGGAAUUGACGGGGGCCCGCACAAGCGGAGGAACAUGUGGUUUAAUUCGAUGAUACGCGAGGAACCUUACCUGGGUUUAAAUGUAGGUUGCAUAGAGGGGAAACUCUCUUUUCCUUCGGGACUACCUACAAGGUGCUGCAUGGUUGUCGUCAGCUCGUGCCGUGAGGUGUCGGGUUAAGUCCCAUAACGAGCGCAACCCUUAUCGUUAGUUGCCAUCAGGUCAUGCUGGGGACUCUAACGAGACUGCCGGUGUAAACCGUGAGGAAGGUGGGGAUGACGUCAAAUCAGCACGGCCCUUAUAUCCAGGGCUACACACGUGUUACAAUGGUCGGUACAAAGAGCAGCCACUUGGCGACAAGGCGCUAAUCUCGAAAGCCGAUCACAGUUCGGAUCGGAGUCUGCAACUCG
rnacentral:rRNA from 1 species